rnacentral:lncRNA from 1 species
ACCAGCAAAGCUUAAUAGGUGAGGUAUGGUUAAGUGGUGAGGCUGCAGCAAGCGACUAAGCAUUCAUUUAGUGGCUAACUUACGAGUACAAAAAUAAAGAGGGGGAUGAUCUACGCAUAGCGUACGUGAAGUACUGAUGUUCAAAUGAAUGAUCCUGAACACCUAUUUACGUCUGACAUAACCCCAGCGUGUCCUCGAUCGGAGAUGGAGCUGACGAAAGAGACAGUCACGGUUACGCACUCAGUUGGCAUGUUUUAAUUAAGCUUACUUCAAGUUAUCUAGAACCGGAUGUUAAAAAAAGUUUCCACGUUGCCUAAUAACCGCAGGCACGACUUUCCGAAAGAUUUAACCCUGCAGGGGUGCUCCAACUAGUCCAUCAUAAAUUACCACAAGCCGCAUAGAAAUCCUUGAUCACGAAACUCGCGAUCUCGUCGGACUCCUUACUGG